rnacentral:rRNA from 1 species
GAUGAACGCUGGCGGCGUGCCUAAUACAUGCAAGUCGAGCGAACAGACGAUGAUCGCGCGCUACUGACGUUGGCGGCGGGCGGGUGAGUAACGCGUGGAUAACCCUCCAAUUAGACUGGGAUAAGUGCGGGAGACCGGAGUUAAUACUGGAUAAUAUAUUGAACGGGAUGGUUCAAUAGUGAUUGAGGUGUUUGAUGACACCUAUAGAUGGAUCCGCGUCGGAUUAGUUAGUUGGUAAGGUAACGGCUUAGCAAGGCGACAAUGGGUAGCCGAACUGCGAGGGUGAUGCGCGACAGUGGGACUGAGACACGGUCCAGACUCCGACGGGAGGCAGCGGUUGGGAAUCUUGGGAGAUGGGCGAAAGCCUGACGAAGCAACGCCGGGUGGGUGAAGAAGGGCUUCGGGUCGGAAAACGCUGUUAUGGGGGAAGAACAAAUGUGUAAGUAACUAUGCACGUUUUGACGGUACCUAAACAAAAAGCCACGGCUAACUACGUG